rnacentral:rRNA from 1 species
GAUCCUGGCUCAAGAUGAACGCUAGCUACAGGCUUAACACAUGCAAGUCGAGGGGAAACGACAUCGAAAGCUUGCUUUUGAUGGGCGUCGACCGGCGCACGGGUGAGUAACGCGUAUCCAACCUGCCUACCACUUGGGGAUAACCUUGCGAAAGUAAGACUAAUACCCAAUGACAUCCCACGAAGACAUCUGAAUGGGAUUAAAGAUUUAUCGGUGAUGGAUGGGGAAUGCGUCUGAUUAG